rnacentral:rRNA from 1 species
CACGUAGGGUGCGAGCGUUGUCCGGAAUUAUUGGGCGUAAAGAGCUCGUAGGCGGUGUGUCGCGUCGGCCGUGAAAACCUGCAGCUUAACUGUGGGCUUGCGGUCGAUACGGGCAUCACUGGAGUUCGGCAGGGGAGACUGGAAUUCCUGGUGUAGCGGUGAAAUGCGCAGAUAUCGAGGAGGAACACCCGGUGGCGAAGGCGGGU